rnacentral:rRNA from 1 species
UACAGCGGGAGCGAGCGUUAAUCGGAAUUACUGGGCGUAAAGCGCACGUAGGUGGCGACGUAAGUCGGGUGUGAAAGCCCAGGGCUCAACCUGGGAAUUGCAUUCGAGACUGCAUUGCUGGAGUACGGAAGAGGAGGGCGGAAUUCCCGGUGUAGCGGUGAAAUGCGUAGAUAUCGGGAGGAACAUCAGUGGCGAAGGCGGCCCUCUGGUCCAGUACUGACACUCAAGUGCGAAAGCGUGGGGAGCUAACAGG